UACGUAGGGGGCAAGCGUUGUCCGGAUUUAUUGGGCGUAAAGAGCGUGUAGGCGGCUAGGUAGGUCCGUUGUGAAAACUCGAGGCUCAACCUCGAGACGUCGAUGGAAACCAUCUAGCUAGAGUCCGGAAGAGGAGAGUGGAAUUCCUGGUGUAGCGGUGAAAUGCGCAGAUAUCAGGAAGAACACCAAUGGCGAAGGCAGCUCGCUGGGACGGUACUGACGCUGAGACGCGAAAGCGUGGGGAGCGAACAGG
rnacentral:rRNA from 1 species